UACGUAGGGACCGAGCGUUGUCCGGAAUCAUUGGGCGUAAAGGGCGCGUAGGCGGCAACUCAAGUCAGCUGUGAAAUCUCCGAGCUUAACUCGGAACGGUCAGCUGAUACUGUUUUGCUAGAGUGCAGAAGGGGCAAUCGGAAUUCUUGGUGUAGCGGUGAAAUGCGUAGAUAUCAAGAGGAACACCUGAGGUGAAGACGGGUUGCUAGGCUGACACUGACGCUGAGGCGCGAAAGCCAGGGGAGCAAACGGG
rnacentral:rRNA from 1 species